rnacentral:rRNA from 1 species
CGACCGGCGCACGGGUGCGUAACGCGUAUGCAACCUACCUUUAACAGGGGGAUAACACUGAGAAAUUGGUACUAAUACCCCAUAAUAUCAUAGAAGGCAUCUUUUAUGGUUGAAAAUUCCGAUGGUUAGAGAUGGGCAUGCGUUGUAUUAGCUAGUUGGUGGGGUAACGGCUCACCAAGGCGACGAUACAUAGGGGGACUGAGAGGUUAACCCCCCACACUGGUACUGAGACACGGCCAG